rnacentral:rRNA from 1 species
AACGUAUAAAAGAGACCGCCUGCUUUCGCUUUACGCCCAGUAAUUCUUGAUUAACGCUCGCACCUCCUACGGGAGGCAGCAGCUAAGAAUAUUCCGCAAUGGACGAAAGUCUGACGGAGCGACGCCGCGUGGAUGAUGAAGGCCGAAAGGUUGUAAAAUCCUUUUGUCGGGGAAGAAUAAGCGUGGGAGGGAAUGCCCGCGUGAUGACGUUAACCGGCGAAUAAGCCCCGGCUAACUACGUGCCAGCAGCCGCGGUAACACGUAGGGGGCGAGCGUUGUUCGGAAUUACUGGGCGUAAAGGGCAUGUAGGCGGUUUUAUAAGCCUGACGUGAAAGGCUAUGGCUCAACCAUGGCACUGCGUUGGGAACUGUGAGAUUCGAAUCACGGAGGGGGAGCUGGAAUUCCAGGUGUAGGGGUGAAAUCUGUAGAUAUCUGGAAGAACACCAGUGGCGAAGGCGAGCUCCUGGCCGAUGAUUGACGCUGAGGUGCGAAAGUGUGGGGGAUCAAACAGGGAUUAGAGACCCUGGUAGUCCACACUGUCAACGAUGUGAACUAGGUGCUGGGGCGGACGUCUCAGUGCCGGAGCUAACGCGGUAAGUGCACCGCCUGGGGAGUAUGCUCGCAAGGGUGAAACUCAAAGGAAUUGACGGGGGCCCGCACAAGCGGUGGAGCAUGUGGUUUAAUUCGAUGGUACACGAGAAACCUUACCUGGGUUUGACAUACACUUGAAUACGGUAGAGAUAUCGUAGUCCCGCAAGGGACAGGUGAACAGGUGCUGCAUGGCUGUCGUCAGCUCGUGCCGUGAGGAGUUGGGUUAAGUCCCGCAACGAGCGCAACCCCUACUGCCAGUUACCAACACGUUAUGGUGGGGACUCUGGCGGAACUGCCGGUGACAAACCGGAGGAAGGUGGGGAUGACGUCAAGUCCUCAUGGCCCUUAUGUCCAGGGCUACACACGUGCUACAAUGGUCGGUACAAAGUGACGCGAAGCCGCGAGGUGAAGCAAAUCGCAGAAAGCCGGCCUUAGUUCGGAUUGGAGUCUGAAACUCGACUCCAUGAAGGUGGAAUCGCUAGUAAAAAACACAUCAGCAUGGUGCGGUGAAUACGUUCCCGGGCCUUGUACACACCGCCAUGCGGAAACCCCCGGGUUAAG